ACGGGUGAGUAACACGUGAGUAACCUGCCCUUGACUCUGGGAUAAGCCUGGGAAACUGGGUCUAAUACCGGAUAUGACUCCUCAUCGCAAGGUGGGGGGUGGAAAGCUUUUGUGGUUUUGGAUGGACUCGCGGCCUAUCAGCUUGUUGGUGGGGUAAUGGCCUACCAAGGCGACGACGGGUAGCCGGCCUGAGAGGGUGACCGGCCACACUGGGACUGAGACACGGCCCAGACUCCUACGGGAGGCAGCAGUGGGGAAUAUUGCACAAUGGGCGCAAGCCUGAUGCAGCGACGCCGCGUGAGGGAUGACGGCCUUCGGGCUGUAAACCUCUUUCAGUAGGGAAGAAGCGUAAGUGACGGUACCUGCAGAAGAAGCGCCGGCUAACUACGUGCCAGCAGCCGCGGUAAUACGUAGGGCGCAAGCGUUAUCCGGAAUUAUUGGGCGUAAAGAGCUCGUAGGCGGUUUGUCGCGUCUGCUGUGAAAGACCGGGGCUCAACUCCGGUUCUGCAGUGGGUACGGGCAGACUAGAGUGCAGUAGGGGAGACUGGAAUUCCUGGUGUAGCGGUGAAAUGCGCAGA
rnacentral:rRNA from 1 species